rnacentral:rRNA from 1 species
UUGAACGCUGGCGGCAGGCCUAACACAUGCAAGUCGAGCGGUAGCACAGAGAGCUUGCUCUCGGGUGACGAGCGGCGGACGGGUGAGUAAUGUCUGGGAAACUGCCUGAUGGAGGGGGAUAACUACUGGAAACGGUAGCUAAUACCGCAUAAUGUCGCAAGACCAAAGUGGGGGACCUUCGGGCCUCAUGCCAUCAGAUGUGCCCAGAUGGGAUUAGCUAGUAGGUGGGGUAACGGCUCACCUAGGCGACGAUCCCUAGCUGGUCUGAGAGGAUGACCAGCCACACUGGAACUGAGACACGGUCCAGACUCCUACGGGAGGCAGCAGUGGGGAAUAUUGCACAAUGGGCGCAAGCCUGAUGCAGCCAUGCCGCGUGUGUGAAGAAGGCCUUCGGGUUGUAAAGCACUUUCAGCGGGGAGGAAGGCGGUAAGGUUAAUAACCUCAUCGAUUGACGUUACCCGCAGAAGAAGCACCGGCUAACUCCGUGCCAGCAGCCGCGGUAAUACGGAGGGUGCAAGCGUUAAUCGGAAUUACUGGGCGUAAAGCGCACGCAGGCGGUCUGUCAAGUCGGAUGUGAAAUCCCCGGGCUCAACCUGGGAACUGCAUUCGAAACUGGCAGGCUAGAGUCUUGUAGAGGGGGGUAGAAUUCCAGGUGUAGCGGUGAAAUGCGUAGAGAUCUGGAGGAAUACCGGUGGCGAAGGCGGCCCCCUGGACAAAGACUGACGCUCAGGUGCGAAAGCGUGGGGAGCAAACAGGAUUAGAUACCCUGGUAGUCCACGCCGUAAACGAUGUCGAUUUGGAGGUUGUGCCCUUGAGGCGUGGCUUCCGGAGCUAACGCGUUAAAUCGACCGCCUGGGGAGUACGGCCGCAAGGUUAAAACUCAAAUGAAUUGACGGGGGCCCGCACAAGCGGUGGAGCAUGUGGUUUAAUUCGAUGCAACGCGAAGAACCUUACCUGGUCUUGACAUCCACAGAACUUUCCAGAGAUGGAUUGGUGCCUUCGGGAACUGUGAGACAGGUGCUGCAUGGCUGUCGUCAGCUCGUGUUGUGAAAUGUUGGGUUAAGUCCCGCAACGAGCGCAACCCUUAUCCUUUGUUGCCAGCGGUCCGGCCGGGAACUCAAAGGAGACUGCCAGUGAUAAACUGGAGGAAGGUGGGGAUGACGUCAAGUCAUCAUGGCCCUUACGACCAGGGCUACACACGUGCUACAAUGGCAUAUACAAAGAGAAGCGACCUCGCGAGAGCAAGCGGACCUCAUAAAGUAUGUCGUAGUCCGGAUUGGAGUCUGCAACUCGACUCCAUGAAGUCGGAAUCGCUAGUAAUCGUAGAUCAGAAUGCUACGGUGAAUACGUUCCCGGGCCUUGUACACACCGCCCGUCACACCAUGGGAGUGGGUUGCAAAAGAAGUAGGUAGCUUAACCUUCGGGAGGGCGCUUACCACUUUGUGAUUCAUGACUGGGGUGAAGUCGUAACAAGGUAACCGUAGGGGAACCUGCGGCUG